GCGGGCGAGGUUGCUUCGGUAACUGAGCUAGCGGCGGACGGGUGAGUAAAGCUUAGGAAUCUGCCUAUUAGUGGGGGACAACAUUCCGAAAGGGAUGCUAAUACCGCAUACGUCCUACGGGAGAAAGCAGGGGAUCACUUGUGACCUUGCGCUAAUAGAUGAGCCUAAGUCGGAUUAGCUAGUUGGUGGGGUAAAGGCCUACCAGGGCGACGAUCUGUAGCGGGUCUGAGAGGAUGAUCCGCCACACUGGGACUGAGACACGGCCCAGACUCCUACGGGAGGCAGCAGUGGGGAAUAUUGGACAAUGGGGGGAACCCUGAUCCAGCCAUGCCGCGUGUGUGAAGAAGGCCUUUUGGUUGUAAAGCACUUUAAGCGAGGAGGAGGCUUACCUGGUUAAUACCUGGGAUAAGUGGACGUUACUCGCAGAAUAAGCACCGGCUAACUCUGUGCCAGCAGCCGCGGUAAUACAGAGGGUGCGAGCGUUAAUCGGAUUUACUGGGCGUAAAGCGCGCGUAGGUGGUUAAUUAAGUCAAAUGUGAAAUCCCCGAGCUUAACUUGGGAAUUGCAUUCGAUACUGGUUAGCUAGAGUAUGGGAGAGGAUGGUAGAAUUCCAGGUGUAGCGGUGAAAUGCGUAGAGAUCUGGAGGAAUACCGAUGGCGAAGGCAGCCAUCUGGCCUAAUACUGACACUGAGGUGCGAAAGCAUGGGGAGCAAACAGGAUUAGAUACCCUGGUAGUCCAUGCCGUAAACGAUGUCUACUAGCCGUUGGGGGAUUUGAUCCUUUAGUGGCGCAGCUAACGCGAUAAGUAGACCGCCUGGGGAGUACGGUCGCAAGACUAAAACUCAAAUGAAUUGACGGGGGCCCGCACAAGCGGUGGAGCAUGUGGUUUAAUUCGAUGCAACGCGAAGAACCUUACCUGGCCUUGACAUAGUAGAGACUUUCCAGAGAUGGAUUGGUGCCUUCGGGAAUCU
rnacentral:rRNA from 1 species